UUGCUGUGAUGAAAAAAUCCGUGUGCCAGAGAUGAAGACUUCAUCAUGAAGUUAUUCAUCGCUGACGGCAAAACACAACCCUCUAAGAAGUUCUAGUAA